rnacentral:rRNA from 1 species
GACGAACGCUUGCGGCGUGCCUAAGAAAUGCAAGUCGAGCGAGCUCAAGCCUUCGGGCGGAAAGCUAGCGGCGAACGGUCGAGUAACACGUGAGCAACCUGCCCCAAAGCGGGGGAUAGCCCACCGAAAGGUGGAUUAAUACCGCAUGUGGCCGUUCCGGGGCAUCCCGGGACGAUUAAAGCAGCAAUGCGCUUUGGGAUGGGCUCGCGGCCUAUCAGCUUGUUGGUGGGGUAACGGCCUACCAAGGCUACGACGGGUAGCUGGUCUGAGAGGAUGGUCAGCCGGAUUGGGACUGAGACACGGCCCAGACUCCUACGGGGGCAGCAAUUAGGAAUCUUGCGCAAUGGGCGAAAGCCUGACGCAGCGACGCCGCGUGACCGACGAAGUCCUUCGGAGUGUAAAGGUACUUUUGUCCAGGGAAGAAGGAUACUGACGGUACCGUGGCGGAAUAAGACCCCGGCCGUAACUACGUGCCAGCAGCCGCCGGUAAGAGUCACGUCG